rnacentral:miRNA from 1 species
UGUCCCCUUCUCUGCACCACC